rnacentral:lncRNA from 1 species
AAUCCUUCUAGUUCAGCACAGACACUCACUCAUUUAUGACUGCUUUGUGGGGUGAAACAAAUUGUUCUUUUACCAAAAUCCUUCGUACUUUCCCUAUCAAUAUCUAAAUCAAAGACCUGGGGAAGAAUGCUGCCUAUAGACGAAGCUGUGUUCAUCAAACACUGAAGUGUUGGAAACCUGUUUGGUUGGAGCUUCACUAAUCCAUUUCCUGCACAGGAUGAUGAUAUGUUUGGUUCUUUAUUGGUUUAUUUCUUCACCUUCAGGUUGAAGGGUUGUUUAAAGACAGCUCCCUUUAAAAUUGCGUGAUCAGUCUGUUGUUGUACUCAAGCAUUUGUCCUGGAUAUCAGAUUUCUAUUACUAAAAUGAUCAUAUUGUUUACAUGCCUUACUUGGACAAAAAUUACAUAUGGAAAUGACUCCCAUAUUUUUGAGAUUUACUGUUUAAUCAACAAGAAGCCACAUGAGAUCUGCAUUGUUUGAAAAAAACAUCAAGUGAAGAAAUCAACAUUUCUGAAGCAAGUCUCUGGCAUUUCUUGAAUGAUCAGCAGGGUCACGGGUUGACAGUAUCUGCAAUGAUAAUAAUAAACUGUUUUGA